rnacentral:rRNA from 1 species
UACAGAGGUCCCAAGCGUUGUUCGGAUUCAUUGGGCGUAAAGGGUGCGUAGGCGGCGCGGUAAGUCGGGUGUGAAAUCUCGGGGCUUAACUCCGAAACUGCAUUCGAUACUGCCGUGCUUGAGGACUGGAGAGGAGACUGGAAUUUACGGUGUAGCGGUGAAAUGCGUAGAUAUCAGGAGGAACACCGGUGGUGUAGCCGGCUCUCUGGACCAUAACUGACGCUGAGACACGAAAGCGUGGGUAGCAAACAGG